AUUGAACGCUGGCGGCAUGCCUUACACAUGCAAGUCGAACGGCAGCACGGGAGCAAUCCUGGUGGCGAGUGGCGAACGGGUGAGUAAUAUAUCGGAACGUGCCCAGUCGUGGGGGAUAACGUAGCGAAAGCUACGCUAAUACCGCAUACGAUCUACGGAUGAAAGCGGGGGAUCGCAAGACCUCGCGCGAUUGGAGCGGCCGAUAUCAGAUUAGGUAGUUGGUGAGGUAAAGGCUCACCAAGCCGACGAUCUGUAGCUGGUCUGAGAGGACGACCAGCCACACUGGGACUGAGACACGGCCCAGACUCCUACGGGAGGCAGCAGUGGGAAUUUUGGACAAUGGGCGCAAGCCUGAUCCAGCAAUGCCGCGUGCAGGAUGAAGGCC
rnacentral:rRNA from 1 species